AACCGACUAAUGUUGAAAAAUUAGCGGAUGACUUGUGGCUGGGGGUGAAAGGCCAAUCAAACCGGGAGAUAGCUGGUUCUCCCCGAAAGCUAUUUAGGUAGCGCCUCGUGAAUUCAUCUUCGGGGGUAGAGCACUGUUUCGGCAAGGGGGUCAUCCCGACUUACCAACCCGAUGCAAACUGCGAAUACCGGAGAAUGUUAUCACGGGAGACACACGGCGGGUGCUAACGUCCGUCGUGAAGAGGGAAACAACCCAGACCGCCAGCUAAGGUCCCAAAGUCAUGGUUAAGUGGGAAACGAUGUGGGAAGGCCCAGACAGCCAGGAUGUUGGCUUAGAAGCAGCCAUCAUUUAAAGAAAGCGUAAUAGCUCACUGGUCGAGUCGGCCUGCGCGGAAGAUGUAACGGGGCUAAACCAUGCACCGAAGCUGCGGCAGCGACGCUUAUGCGUUGUUGGAUAGGGGAGCGUUCUGUAAGCCUGUGAAGGUGUACUGUGAGGUAUGCUGGAGGUAUCAGAAGUGCGAAUGCUGACAUAAGUAACGAUAAAGCGGGUGAAAAGCCCGCUCGCCGGAAGACCAAGGGUUCCUGUCCAACGUUAAUCGGGGCAGGGUGAGUCGACCCCUAAGGCGAGGCCGAAAGGCGUAGUCGAUGGGAAACAGGUUAAUAUUCCUGUACUUGGUGUUACUGCGAAGGGGGGACGGAGAAGGCUAUGUUGGCCGGGCGACGGUUGUCCCGGUUUAAGCGUGUAGGCUGGUUUUCCAGGCAAAUCCGGAAAAUCNAGGCUGAGGCGUGAUGACGAGGCACUACGGUGCUGAAGCAACAAAUGCCCUGCUUCCAGGAAAAGCCUCUAAGCAUCAGGUAACAUCAAAUCGUACCCCAAACCGACACAGGUGGUCAGGUAGAGAAUACCAAGGCGCUUGAGAGAACUCGGGUGAAGGAACUAGGCAAAAUGGUGCCGUAACUUCGGGAGAAGGCACGCUGAUAUGUAGGUGAAGCGACUUGCUCGUGGAGCUGAAAUCAGUCGAAGAUACCAGCUGGCUGCAACUGUUUAUUAAAAACACAGCACUGUGCAAACACGAAAGUGGACGUAUACGGUGUGACGCCUGCCCGGUGCCGGAAGGUUAAUUGAUGGGGUUAGCGGUAACGCGAAGCUCUUGAUCGAAGCCCCGGUAAACGGCGGCCGUAACUAUAACGGUCCUAAGGUAGCGAAAUUCCUUGUCGGGUAAGUUCCGACCUGCACGAAUGGCGUAAUGAUGGCCAGGCUGUCUCCACCCGAGACUCAGUGAAAUUGAACUCGCUGUGAAGAUGCAGUGUACCCGCGGCAAGACGGAAAGACCCCGUGAACCUUUACUAUAGCUUGACACUGAACAUUGAGCCUUGAUGUGUAGGAUAGGUGGGAGGCUUUGAAGUGUGGACGCCAGUCUGCAUGGAGCCGACCUUGAAAUACCACCCUUUAAUGUUUGAUGUUCUAACGUUGGCCCCUNNNNNNNAUCGGGGUUGCGGACAGUGUCUGGUGGGUAGUUUGACUGGGGCGGUCUCCUCCUAAAGAGUAACGGAGGAGCACGAAGGUUGGCUAAUCCUGGUCGGACAUCAGGAGGUUAGUGCAAUGGCAUAAGCCAGCUUGACUGCGAGCGUGACGGCGCGAGCAGGUGCGAAAGCAGGUCAUAGUGAUCCGGUGGUUCUGAAUGGAAGGGCCAUCGCUCAACGGAUAAAAGGUACUCCGGGGAUAACAGGCUGAUACCGCCCAAGAGUUCAUAUCGACGGCGGUGUUUGGCACCUCGAUGUCGGCUCAUCACAUCCUGGGGCUGAAGUAGGUCCCAAGGGUAUGGCUGUUCGCCAUUUAAAGUGGUACGCGAGCUGGGUUUAGAACGUCGUGAGACAGUUCGGUCCCUAUCUGCCGUGGGCGCUGGAGAACUGAGGGGGGCUGCUCCUAGUACGAGAGGACCGGAGUGGACGCAUCACUGGUGUUCGGGUUGUCAUGCCAAUGGCACUGCCCGGUAGCUAAAUGCGGAAGAGAUAAGUGCUGAAAGCAUCUAAGCACGAAACUUGCCCCGAGAUGAGUUCUCCCUGACUCCUUGAGAGUCCUGAAGGAACGUUGAAGACGACGACGUUGAUAGGCCGGGUGUGUAAGCGCAGCGAUGCGUUGAGCUAACCGGUACUAAUGAACCGUGAGGCUUAACCUU
rnacentral:rRNA from 1 species